rnacentral:rRNA from 1 species
GUGGCGAGUGGCGACGGGUGAGUAAUACAUCGGAACGUGUCCUGUAGUGGGGGAUAGCCCGGCGAAAGCCGGAUUAAUACCGCAUACGAUCUGCGGAUGAAAGCGGGGGAUCCUUCGGGACCUCGCGCUGCAGGGGCGGCCGAUGGCAGAUUAGCUAGUUGGUGGGGUAAAGGCCUACCAAGGCGACGAUCUGUAGCUGGUCUGAGAGGACGACCAGCCACACUGGGACUGAGACACGGCCCAGACUCCUACGGGAGGCAGCAGUGGGGAAUUUUGGACAAUGGGCGCAAGCCUGAUCCAGCAAUGCCGCGUGUGUGAAGAAGGCCUUCGGGUUGUAAAGCACUUUUGUCCGGAAAGAAAACCUCUUGGUUAAUACCUGAGGGGGAUGACGGUACCGGAAGAAUAAGCACCGGCUAACUACGUGCCAGCAGCCGCGGUAAUACGUAGGGUGCAAGCGUUAAUCGGAAUUACUGGGCGUAAAGCGUGCGCAGGCGGUUCGCUAAGACAGAUGUGAAAUCCCCGGGCUUAACCUGGGAACUGCAUUUGUGACUGGCGGGCUAGAGUAUGGCAGAGGGGGGUAGAAUUCCACGUGUAGCAGUGAAAUGCGUAGAGAUGUGGAGGAAUACCGAUGGCGAAGGCAGCCCCCUGGGCCAAUACUGACGCUCAUGCACGAAAGCGUGGGGAGCAAACAGGAUUAGAUACCCUGGUAGUCCACGCCCUAAACGAUGUCAACUAGUUGUCGGGUCUUCAUUGACUUGGUAACGUAGCUAACGCGUGAAGUUGACCGCCUGGGGAGUACGGUCGCAAGAUUAAAACUCAAGGAAUUGACGGGGGACCCGCACAAGCGGUGGGAUGAUGUGGAUUAAUUCGAUGCACGCGAAAAACCUUACCUACCCUUGACAUUGU